CUGACUGUGUUUUGUACUUAUUUUACUUGUUUGUUAAGUUGACUGGCUGGCUGUUUUGGUUGGUUCGUAAGUUCGUUCAUAUCGUUCGUUGUGUUCAAACGUUCUUUGGCUCAAUAACUGACUGCCUGCCUGCCUUGCUAGCCCGCCAGUUAGUCAGUCAGGCUGUUGUGUUUAAUGGUUUGGUUGUUUGCUUGCUUUGCUUACUUGCCAGCCAAACUGAAUGACUGACUGAUUCGUCUCAAUGGUGUACGGGAGGCAAGUGAAUUUAGCGACCGAACUAAAAAUGCUUGUAGAAAAAACAACUUACGAGCUCACAAAAAUAACAGAGAACAAACAGAAACAACUAUGGCAGCCAGGCAGGCCAGUCACAAGUACACUGUGAGCAGUGGAAAAAAUACUAAAAUGUUACGACAACACAACGUUGUAUUGGGGAUUUUUUUGUAUGAGCUGGUUGGUCCGCUUGUUUUCAGAAAACAACAUAUGAACGUAGAAAUAGUUGCUGUAGUCGUUCGUCGUAGCAGUUAAAUUUUAAUACAAGUUUAUAUGUUUGUUAAAUCCCUGUGUUUGUCAGUCCGUCCGUCUGUCUAUCUAUCUGUUUCUGUACGUUUUAAAUUGUUCAUUCCAUGAACAUUUUUUCUUUUCAUAACUUGGUUGUGUGCUUUGGCUUUGGCUUCUCUAUAACAAACGUACGUUUCUUUUAACUUGUGCAUUUUUUUCUUGCUGGAUUUUAUAUUACAAUUUUUUUGCCGCCAAAUCCAAAUGAAUGAGUUUUAUACAGGGAACCGAACCAGCAACUAACAGUAAUAGAGCACCUAGCUCUAGCCAGGCAGGCAGUCACAGCAACUGAAAUUAUGUUUGGUACUCUACUACCUAUAUAAGAGUAUGAAAAAGAAGAAAAUCUCAUAAAAAAUGUCUAUUACCCCCAAACCAACCAACCAACCUCCAACCUUAAGCAAACUUUUGCCAUCAUAGUCAUAGUCUUCGUCGUCGUCAUUAUCAUCAUCAUCAAACUUACUUACAAACUGAUUAACUAACGCACAUAUUUCUGGUAAUCGAAGGAAGUUAAGUUUCUCAACAGCAGCAGCAGUAAUAUUAACUACCAGAUAUCUGUGUCUGUGUCAUAUGUAGAGAAGAAAAGCUGUAAAAGUGAUAUUCAUGCAGUCAUCGCGGAAGAUGAGAAAAACAUUGAUGGAACUAGUACGAGGUUACUAGAAGCGCACAACAGGAUCGAUAGGUCACUAUCAACCAAUUAUUUUCGAAACUAUUAAUGAAAGUUAUCGAUUACUUCUGGUUUUGACUUUAGUACCUGAAUUAGGAGUUGCCAGAUUAAGUGAGAUUGGAUAGACAAACAUUGAAUAUAUGGUAACCUUGUGAGACCAAGGUGAAGAAACAGGCGCAAACUUAGAAAGUUGAGUAGCGUUUAUGAUUGCAAUCAUUAUUUCUGGCAACUACAAGCAGAAACAAAAACAAUAACAAAGACAACAAUGUCAUACUUUGCUAGACGUCAACAUCAUUAUAAACACAUGUAUAAAAUUGUCAAUAAUAAAAAUCAACAACAGCAGCAACAACAUACAUUAUAUUAAUAAAGAG